rnacentral:rRNA from 1 species
UACGAAGGGGGCUAGCGUUGCUCGGAAUCACUGGGCGUAAAGCGCACGUAGGCGGAUCGCUAAGUCAGGGGUGAAAUCCUGGAGCUCAACUCCAGAACUGCCUUUGAUACUGGCAACCUUGAGUCCGGGAGAGGUGAGUGGAACUGCGAGUGUAGAGGUGAAAUUCGUAGAUAUUCGCAAGAACACCAGCGGCGAAAGGCGGCGCUCUGGGCCGGUACUGACGCUGAGGAGCGAAAAGCGUGGGGUAGCAAACAGG